GACUGCCGGUGACAAACCGGAGGAAGGUGGGGACGACGUCAAGUCAUCAUGGCCCUUACGGGCAGGGCUACACACGUGCUACAAUGGCCGGUACAGAAGGUCGCGAACCCGUGAGGGGAAGCUAAUCCUCAAAGCCGGUCGUAGUCCGGAUCGAAGUCUGCAACUCGACUUCGUGAAGUCGGAAUCGCUAGUAAUCGCGAAUCAGCAUUGUCGCGGUGAAUACGUUCCCGGGUCUUGUACACACCGCCCGUCACACCAUGGAAGUUGGUUGCACCAGAAGUGGGUAGCCUAACCUUAGGGAGGGCGCUCACCACGGUGUGGCCAGCAACUGGGGUGAAGUCGUAACAAGGUAGCCGUACGGGAACGUGCGGCUGGAUCACCUCCUUU
rnacentral:rRNA from 1 species